rnacentral:rRNA from 1 species
CAAGUCGCACGGGGGAAUGUGAGUAGCAAUACGAAUGUUCUUCAGUGGCGCACGGGUGCGUAACACGUGAGUUACAUGCCCUGCAGAGGGGGAUAGCCCAGGGAAACUUGGAUUAAUACCCCAUGGUCUCGCAAGAGUAAAGGUGGCGAAAGCUGCCGCUGCAGGAUUGGCUCGCGGCCUAUCAGCUAGUUGGUGAGGUAACGGCUCACCAAGGCUACGACGGGUACCUGGUCUGAGAGGACGAUCAGGCACACUGGAACUGAGACACGGCCCAGACACCUACGGGUGGCAGCAGUCGAGAAUCAUUCACAAUGGGGGCAACCCUGAUGGUGCAACGCCGCGUGGAGGAUGAAGGUCUUCGGAUUGUAAACUCCUGUCAUCUAGGAGCAAGGCAUGGUGGUGAAUAGCCAACAUGAUUGAUAGUACUAGAAGAGGAAGGGACGGCUAACUUCGUGCCAGCAGCCGCGGUAAUACGAAGGUCCCGAGCGUUAUUCGGAAUCACUGGGCGUAAAGGGAGCGUAGGCGGCGUGGAAAGUCAGAUGUGAAAUCCCGGGGCUCAACCCCGGAACUGCAUCCGAUACUACCAUGCUAGAGUAUUGGAGGGGUAACUGGAAUUCUCGGUGUAGCAGUGAAAUGCGUGGAUAUCGAGAGGAACACCUGUGGCGAAAGCGAGUUACUGGACAAUUACUGACGCUGAGGCUCGAAGGCUAGGGGAGCAAAAGGGAUUAGAUACCCCUGUAGUCCUAGCAGUAAACGGUGCACGCUUGGUUUGAGGGGAAUCGACCCCCUUCGAGCCGGAGCAAACGCGUUAAGCGUGCCGCCUGGGAAGUACGGUCGCAAGACUAAAACUCAAAGAAAUUGACGGA